GAGUUUGAUCAUGGCUCAGAGUGAACGCUGGCGGCGUGCUUAACACAUGCAAGUCGAACGGAACCUUCGGGUUUAGUGGCGCACGGGUGAGUAAUGUAUAGCUAACAUGCCCUUUGGAGGGGGAUAACAGUUGGAAACGACUGCUAAUACCCCAUACUCCUUCUCAUUAUAAGAUGAGUCGGGAAAGUUUUUUCGCUAAAGGAUUGGGCUAUAUGGUAUCAGCUUGUUGGUGAGGUAACGGCUCACCAAGGCUAUGACGCCUAACUGGUCUGAGAGGAUGAUCAGUCACACUGGAACUGAGACACGGUCCAGACUCCUACGGGAGGCAGCAGUGGGGAAUAUUACACAAUGGAGGAAACUCUGAUGUAGCAACGCCGCGUGGAGGAUGACACAUUUCGGUGCGUAAACUCCUUUUAUAUGGGAAGAUAAUGACGGUACCAUAUGAAUAAGCACCGGCUAACUCCGUGCCAGCCAGCCGCGGUAAUACGGAGGGUGCAAGCGUUACUCGGAAUCACUGGGCGUAAAGCGCAUGUAGGCGGCCUUGUAAGUUGGGUGUGAAAGCCUAUGUGUUCACCAUAGAACUGCACCCAAAACUACUAGACUAGAGCCUGAGAGAGGAAAAAUGGAAUUAGUUGUGUAGGGGGUAAAAUCCGUAGGAGAUAACUAGGAAUACCCAAAAGCAAAGGCAAUUUUCUGGAAACAGUACUGACGCUUCAGAUGGGAAAGCGUGGGUAGCAAACAGGGAUUAGAUACCGUGGUAGCCCACCCCCUAAACGAUGAAUGGUUAGUCGUCGGGAGGCUUCGUCCUUUUCCGGUGAUGCAGCUAACGCAUUUAAACAUUCCGCCUGGGGGAGUACGGUCGCAAGAUUAAAACUCAAAGGAAUAAGACGGGGACCCGCACAAGUGGUGGAGCAUGUGGUUUAAUUCGAAGAUACGCGAAGAACCUUACCUAGCCUUGACAUUGAUAGAAUCCGAAUGGAAACAUUGGAGUGCCAGUUUACUGGGAGCUUGAAAACAGGUGCUGCACGGCUGUCGUCAGCUCGUGUCGUGAGAUGUUGGGAUAAGUCCCGCAACGAGCGCAACCCUCGUCCUUAGUUACUAACGGUUCGGCCGAGGCCUCUAAGGAGACUGCCUUCGUAAGGAGGAGGAAGGUGAGGACGACGUCAAGUCAUCAUGGCCCUUACGGCUAGGGCGACACACGUGCUACAAUGGAUAGGACAAUGAGACGCAAUACCGCGAGGUGGAGCAAAUCUAUAAACCUAUUCUCAGUUCGGAUUGUAGUCUGCAACUCGACUACAUGAAGCUGGAAUCACUAGUAAUCGUAGAUCAGCCAUGCUACGGUGAAUACGUUCCCGGGUCUUGUACUCACCGCCCGUCACACCAUGGGAGUUGAUUUCACCCGAAGCGGGGAAGCUAAACUGGCUACCCUCCACGGUGGAAUCAGCGACUGGGGUGAAGUCGUAACAAGGUAACC
rnacentral:rRNA from 1 species